rnacentral:rRNA from 1 species
GUAGGUGGCGAGCGUUAUCCGGAAUGAUUGGGCGUAAAGGGUGCGUAGGUGGCUCGUUAAGUCUGGAGUCAAAGCCGGCAGCUCAACUGUCGUACGCUUUGGAAACUGGCGAGCUCGAGUGCAGGAGAGGGCGAUGGAACUCCAUGUGUAGCGGUAAAAUGCGUAGAUAUAUGGAAGAACACCAGUGGCGAAGGCGGUCGCCUGGCCUGCAACUGACACUGAAGCACGAAAGCGUGGGGAGCAAA